rnacentral:rRNA from 1 species
CCUACGGGGGGCAGCAGUGGGGAAUAUUGGACAAUGGGGGGAACCCUGAUCCAGCCAUGCCGCGUGUGUGAAGAAGGCCCUCGGGUUGUAAAGCACUUUCAGUGAGGAAGAACGCCUGGUGGUUAAUACCCAUCAGGAAAGACAUCACUCACAGAAGAAGCACCGGCUAACUCCGUGCCAGCAGCCGCGGUAAUACGGAGGGUGCGAGCGUUAAUCGGAAUUACUGGGCGUAAAGCGCGCGUAGGUGGCUUGAUAAGCCGGUUGUGAAAGCCCCGGGCUCAACCUGGGAACGGCAUCCGGAACUGUCAAGCUAGAGUGCAGGAGGGGAAGGUAGAAGUCCCGGUGUAGCGGUGCAAUGCGUAGAGAUCGGGAGGAAUAGCAGUGGCGAAGGCGGCCUUCUGGACUGACACUGACACUGAGGUGCGAAAGCGUGGGUAGCAAGCAGGAUUAGAUACCCUAGGAGUC